CCUACGGGAGGCAGCAGUGAGGAAUAUUGGUCAAUGGACGCAAGUCUGAACCAGCCAUGCCGCGUGCAGGAAGACGGCCCUAUGUGUUGUAAACUGCUUUUGUACGGGGGUAAACGCAGAUACGCGUAUCUGUCUGAAUGUACCUUAAGAAUAAGGAUCGGCUAACGCCGUGCCAGCCGCCGCGGUAAUACGGAGGAUUCAAGCGUUAUCCGGCUUUAUUGGGUUUAAAGGGUGCGUAGGCGGUCGGAUAAGUUCGAUGUUAAAUACUGAGGCUCAACUGCGGAAUUGCCUUUGAUACUGGUCGGCUUGAGAGUAGUUGCGGUAGGCGGAAUGUAUGGUGUAGCGGGGAAAUGCUUAGAGAUCAUGCAGAACGCCGAUUGCGAAGGCAGCCUACCAAGCUACUUCUGACGUUGAGGCACGAAAGGGUGGGGAGCAAACAGGAUUAGAUACCCGAGUAGUC
rnacentral:rRNA from 1 species